rnacentral:rRNA from 1 species
GAGACUCUGUGCGCGUGCAUAUCAAUAAGCGGAGGAAAAGAAACUAACAAGGAUUCCCUUAGUAACGGCGAGUGAAGCGGGAAGAGCUCAAAUUUGAAAUCUUCAAGGUUUUACCUUGACGAAUUGUAGUUUAAAGAAGUGUUUUCUGUUGGAGUUUUGGUAAAAGUUCUUUGGAAUAGGACAUCAUAGAGGGUGAGAAUCCCGUAUUUGACCGUUACUUUCCAGCUGUGUGAUACACUUUCAAAGAGUCGGAUUGUUUGGGAAUGCAGUCCAAAAUGGGUGGUAAAUUUCAUCUAAAGCUAAAUAUUGGCGAGAGACCGAUAGCGAACAAGUACCGUGAGGGAAAGAUGAAAAGAACUUUGAAAAGAGAGUUAAACAGUACGUGAAAUUGUCAAAAGGGAAGCGUUUGGCACCAGUGUUGUUUAGUUGAAAAUCAAUUCAAUAAUUUUUGAUUUUGAGUAGUAUUGGCUUCAUCAGCUUGCUGCUUUCUUUUCGGAAAUUAUUGAAUGCACUUUUCAGUUAACAAGUCAACAUCAAUUUCUUUUGUUGUAAAAGGGUAAGAGGAAGGUGGCUUACGCUUCGGCGUAAGUGUUUAUAGCCUUGUACCUCUGCAAUCGGAGAGAUUGAGGUCUGCAGCGUAGAUCCUUCGGGGUUAGAUACAUUUGUGCUAAGUUAUAGCUUUUCAUAGACAACUUGUUGACUAUGUUAAGUCUUGUAGCUUACUCGCUUAUGCUAUUUUACCUACGCUUAGGGAUGUUGAAGAUGUAGCACAUCAU